rnacentral:rRNA from 1 species
UACGUAGGGGGCAAGCGUUGUCCGGAUUUACUGGGCGUAAAGGGCUCGUAGGCGGCCAACUAAGUCAGACGUGAAAUCCCUCGGCUUAACCGGGGAACUGCGUCUGAUACUGGAUGGCUUGAGAUUGGGAGAGGGAUGCGGAAUUCCAGGUGUAGCGGUGAAAUGCGUAGAUAUCUGGAGGAACACCGGUGGCGAAGGCGGCAUCCUGGACCAACACUGACGCUGAGGAGCGAAAGCCAGGGGAGCAAACGGG